rnacentral:piRNA from 1 species
UGAGUACAUGCUAUGUUCCAGAUGCUGC